UUUCCCAAUAGGCUGUCUUGUGACCCAGUAGCACAUAACACACUGAAAAUGCCUGUUAAAUGAUGACUAAUGAUUGCUUUGAUCUUUUUUUGGUGGUGGGUAGUUUUGGUUUUUUUGGGGGGAGGGGGUUGGGGGUUGGUUGUGGUGGUGCAGCUUGUUUUG